rnacentral:rRNA from 1 species
AGAAUCAACGCUGGCGGCGUGCCUAACACAUGCAAGUCGAACGGGAAAGUGGAGCAAUCCAUGAGUAUAGUGGCGACCGGGUGAGUAACACGUGACUAACCUACCCUUGAGUGGGGGAUAACCUCGGGAAACCGGGCUAAUACCGCAUAACAUCUUCGGGAUGAGAAGCUGAAGAUCAAAGGAGCAAUUCGCUUUCGGAGGGGUCGCGGCUGAUUAGCUAGUUGGCGGGUAACGCCCACAAGGCUUUGAUCGGUA